AUAAAACUCCUAAACCCCUGUGAACUUACUGGUGUUUGGCUCGCCAGAUAUAGUCUGGUCCGUAAGCAAAUCGACUGCCUGCCUGUGUAACAGGCAGGUAAGCUUUUGUCGCGGGGUCCCGGAUCAACCCGGGCUAGAUAGCCACUUAACUAUAUACUUUUUAUAAAAUCUGUGAACUUACUAGGUUGGAUUCUUUCGCGGAUCGCCUACCCGUGACACCUGUCACAGGCAGGUAUGCUUCUGCCGCGGGUCCGUAAGUAAAUCAUCUGUUUCGCAAGGGACGGCGAUUUACCUGUGGAAGAGGUCCGCUAACUAUAUUCUUAGUAUAGUUUGUUCACUAGAUCAAACAUUCUGAAUAAAAACUUAAACUAGUUAAAACUUUCAACAACGGAUCUCUUGGUUCUGGCAUCGAUGAAGAACGCAGCGAAAUGCGAUAAGUAAUGUGAAUUGCAGAAUUCAGUGAAUCAUCGAAUCUUUGAACGCACAUUGCGCCCAUUAGUAUUCUAGUGGGCAUGCCUGUUCGAGCGUCAUUUCAACCCUUAAGCCCCUGUUGCUUAGCGUUGGGAGCCUACAGCCUGCUGUAGCUCCUUAAAGGUAGUGGCGGAGUCGGUUCACACUCUAGACGUAGUAAAAUCUUUAUCUCGCCUAUGGAUGAGCCGGCGCCUUGCCGUAAAACCCCUAAUCUUUCACAAGGUUGACCUCGGAUCAGGUAGGAAUACCCGCUGAACUUAAGCAUAUCAAUAAGCGGAGGAAAAGAAACCAACAGGGAUUGCCCUAGUAACGGCGAGUGAAGCGGCAACAGCUCAAAUUUGAAAUCUGGCCUUCGGGUCCGAGUUGUAAUUUGCAGAGGAUGCUUUGGGCGCGGUGCCUUCCGAGUUCCCUGGAACGGGACGCCUUAGAGGGUGAGAGCCCCGUACGGUUGGACACCAAGCCUCUGUAAAGCUCCUUCGACGAGUCGAGUAGUUUGGGAAUGCUGCUCUAAAUGGGAGGUAAAUUUCUUCUAAAGCUAAAUAUUGGCCAGAGACCGAUAGCGCACAAGUAGAGUGAUCGAAAGAUGAAAAGCACUUUGAAAAGAGGGUUAAAUAGCACGUGAAAUUGUUGAAAGGGAAGCGUUUGCGACCAGACCUUUUCCCAGCGGAUCAUCCGGUGUUCUCACCGGUGCACUUCGCUGGGUUGAGGCCAGCAUCGGUUUCCGCAGGGGGAUAAAAGCCUGGGGAACGUAGCUCCCUCGGGAGUGUUAUAGCCCCUCGCAUAAUACCCUUGCGGGGACCGAGGACCGCG
rnacentral:rRNA from 1 species